GGGGGCGGUAGGCCUACACAUGCAGUCGAACGGUAGCACAGAGAGCUUGCUCUCGGGUGACGAGUGGCGGACGGGUGAGUAAUGUCUGGGAAACUGCCUGAUGGAGGGGGAUAACUACUGGAAACGGUAGCUAAUACCGCAUAACGUCGCAAGACCAAAGAGGGGGACCUUCGGGCCUCUUGCCAUCAGAUGUGCCCAGAUGGGAUUAGCUAGUAGGCGGGGUAAUGGCCCACCUAGGCGACGAUCCCUAGCUGGUCUGAGAGGAUGACCAGCCACACUGGAACUGAGACACGGUCCAGACUCCUACGGGAGGCAGCAGUGGGGAAUAUUGCACAAUGGGCGCAAGCCUGAUGCAGCCAUGCCGCGUGUGUGAAGAAGGCCUUCGGGUUGUAAAGCACUUUCAGCGGGGAGGAAGGCGGUACGGUUAAUAACCGUGCCGAUUGACGUUACCCGCAGAAGAAGCACCGGCUAACUCCGUGCCAGCAGCCGCGGUAAUACGGAGGGUGCAAGCGUUAAUCGGAAUUACUGGGCGUAAAGCGCACGCAGGCGGUCUGUCAAGUCGGAUGUGAAAUCCCCGGGCUCAACCUGGGAACUGCAUUCGAAACUGGCAGGCUGGAGUCUCGUAGAGGGAGGUAGAAUUCCAGGUGUAGCGGUGAAAUGCGUAGAGAUCUGGAGGAAUACCGGUGGCGAAGGCGGCCUCCUGGACGAAGACUGACGCUCAGGUGCGAAAGCGUGGGGAGCAAACAGGAUUAGAUACCCUGGUAGUCCACGCCGUAAACGAUGUCGAUUUGGAGGUUGUGCCCUUGAGGCGUGGCUUCCGGAGCUAACGCGUUAAAUCGACCGYCUGGGGAGUACGGCCGCAAGGGUUAAAACUCAAAUGAAUUGACGGGGGCCCGCACAAGCGGUGGAGCAUGGUGGUUUAAUUUCGAUGCAACGCGAAGAACCCUUACCUGGGUCUUGGACAUCCACAGAACCUGGCAGAGAUGCUGGGGGUGCCUUCGGCACUGUGAGAACAGUGCUGCAUGGCUGUCGUCAGCUCGUGUUGUGCAAUGUAGGAUUAGUUCCGCACGGAGGGCGCCAACYCGA
rnacentral:rRNA from 1 species